rnacentral:tRNA from 1 species
GGCCCCAUCGUCUAGCCAGGUCCAGGACACCGGGUUUUCAACCCGGCAACACCGGUUCAAAUCCGGUUGGGGCUA